rnacentral:misc_RNA from 1 species
GGACUUUCAACAUAACCAAUUACAGCCAUUCCAUUUAGAAUAGUGGCAUUAAAUAUGACUGGCAUGGCACCAGCAUAAAGUGGUUGACGGCAAAAUGGCCACGAGUAGGGGCAGUCAGUGUAAUCAAGAACACCUGGGAAAAUGCUUGCUCGAGGCUCAUAGCUCAUCAAAAUUUCAAAGGACUCCAACCUGUCAUUCAAGUUAAAGUUAGAA